AUCAGACGUAAUCUGCCGCAAUAGUUUUGCGGUUUCCGCAAUAUUGGAUAACUUGGCGAAACGCCAAGCUAAUACAUGAACCAACCGGGCGUGCUCUGCUCCGCGGCGGAAAGGUGUAACCCCCUUUCUUGUCGUUACGGGUCGCCCAGCGAAUGAACGAAAUUAAAACCAAUGCCCUGUUGACGGGCAGUAACACCCAGAAGUGUUGAAUCAGUUCAUUCCGUGCGAAAGCCGGCUUAGCCGGCGUCUUCUGACGAACAACUGCCCUAUCAGCUGGUGAUGGCCGUGUAGUGGACUGCCAUGGCGUUGACGGGAGCGGGGGAUUAGGGUUCGAUUCCGGAGAGGGAGCCUGAGAAAUAGCUACCACUUCUACGGAGGGCAGCAGGCGCGCAAAUUGCCCAAUGUCAAAAAAAAACGAUGAGGCAGCGAAAAGAAAUAGAGUCAGCAGUGCCAUAGGCAUUGUUGUUUUCAAUGGGGGAUACUUAGACCCAUCCAAAAUCGAGUAACAAUUGGAGGACAAGUCUGGUGCCAGCACCCGCGGUAAUUCCAGCUCCAAAAGCUUAUAUUAAUGCUGUUGCUGUUAAAGGGUUCGUAGUUGAAUUGGGGGCCUUUCUUUUUUUAAGGCGCACGGUUUUGCCCCGUCCACCUCGGACUGGUGGCCCGUGCCCUUGGGGGCCUGUGAACACUCAGAAACAAAAAACACGGGAGCGGUUCCUUCCUGAUUUUCGCAUGUCAUGCAUGCCAGGGGGCGCCCGUGAUUUUUUACUGUGACUAAAAAAGUGCGACCAAAGCAGUCAGUCGACUUGAAUUAAAAAGCAUGGGAUAACAAAGGAGCAGCCUAUGGGCCACCGUUUCGGCUUUUGUUGGUAUUAAAAGUCCAUUGGAGAUUAUGGGGCCGUGUGACAAGUGAUCGGGUGUGCGUGCGUACAAAUUUCAUUUGUGUCUUCCCCGAAGUUUUUCGGUGCGGGAGAUUAUCGCCCACACCCGUCGCCUUCGGGAGGGAUUUGUGGCGCGUUGCGGUUGCUGUGUUCUUUGAUGGCUUUGGCCAUCAUCCCACACAACCCAGCGUUUUUGCCUCCUCUCUCGACUUGCGGCAUCCAGGAAUGAAGGAGGGUAGUUCGGGGAAGAACGUAUUGGUGCGUCAGAGGUGAAAUUCUUAGACCGCACCAGGACGAACUACAGCGAAGGCAUUCUUCAAGGAUACCUUCC
rnacentral:rRNA from 1 species